CCUACGGGAGGCAGCAGUGGGGAAUAUUGCACAAUGGGCGCAAGCCUGAUGCAGCCAUGCCGCGUGUGUGAAGAAGGCCUUCGGGUUGUAAAGCACUUUCAGCGGGGAGGAAGGCGGUGAGGUUAAUAACCUCAUCGAUUGACGUUACCCGCAGAAGAAGCACCGGCUAACUCCGUGCCAGCAGCCCCGGUAAUACGGAGGGUGCAAGCGUUAAUCGGAAUUACUGGGCGUAAAGCGCACGCAGGCGGUCUGUCAAGUCGGAUGUGAAAUCCCCGGGCUCAACCUGGGAACUGCAUUCGAAACUGGCAGGCUAGAGUCUUGUAGAGGGGGGUAGAAUUCCAGGUGUAGCGGUGAAAUGCGUAGAGAUCUGGAGGAAUACCGGUGGCGAAGGCGGCCCCCUGGACAAAGACUGACGCUCAGGUGCGAAAGCGUGGGGAGCAAACAGGAUUAGAUACCCCGGUAGUC
rnacentral:rRNA from 1 species